GAAUGCUGACAUAAGUAACGAUAAAGCGGGUGAAAAGCCCGCUCGCCGGAAGACCAAGGGUUCCUGUCCAACGUUAAUCGGGGCAGGGUGAGUCGACCCCUAAGGCGAGGCCGAAAGGCGUAGUCGAUGGGAAACGGGUUAAUAUUCCCGUACUUGGUGUUACUGCGAAGGGGGGACGGAGAAGGCUAUGUUGGCCGGGCGACGGUUGUCCCGGUUUAAGCGUGUAGGUGUGUGUUCCAGGUAAAUCCGGUUCACUUUAACACUGAGGCGUGACGACGAGGCACUACGGUGCUGAAGCAACAAAUGCCCUGCU
rnacentral:rRNA from 1 species